AGUGAACGCUGGCGGUAGGCCUAACACAUGCAAGUCGAACGGCAGCACAGUACUAGCUUGCUCUUACGGGUGGCGAGUGGCGGACGGGUGAUGAAUACAUCGGAAUCUACUUUUUCGUGGGGGCUAACGUAGGGAAACUUACGCUAAUACCGCAUACGACCUACGGGUGAAAGCAGGGGAUCUUCGGACCUUGCGCGAUUGAAUGAGCCGAUGUCGGAUUAGCUAGUUGGCGGGGUAAAGGCCCACCAAGGCGACGAUCCGUAGCUGGUCUGAGAGGAUGAUCAGCCACACUGGAACUGAGACACGGUCCAGACUCCUACGGGAGGCAGCAGUGGGGAAUAUUGGACAAUGGGCGAAAGCCUGAUCCAGCCAUACCGCGUGGGUGAAGAAGGCCUUCGGGUUGUAAAGCCCUUUUGUUGGGAAAGAAAAGCAGCAGGUUAAUACCCCGCUGUUCUGACGGUACCAAAAGAAUAAGCACCGGCUAACUUCGUG
rnacentral:rRNA from 1 species